GGCUGUGUUGCCUGUUCAGCUACUGUAGGUUACUCUCCCAUAUGGCUGAGUUGACUGUUCAGCUACUGUAUGUUACUCUCCAAUGCUACUGUAGGUUACUCUUCCAUCCUACUGUAGGUUACUCUCCCCCUUCUACUGUAGGUAACUCGCCCAUGCUACUGUAGGUUACUAUCUCAUGUUACUGUAGGUUACUCUCCCAUGUUACUGUAGGUUACUCUCCCAUGUUACUGUAGGUUACUCUCCCAUGCUACUGUAGGUUACUCUCCAAUGUUACUGUAGGUUUCUCUCCCAUGCUAUUAUAGGUUACUCUCCCAUGAUACUGUAGAUCACUCUCCCAUGCUCCUGUAGGUUACUCUACCAUGAUACUGUAGGUUACUCUCCCAUGCUACUGUAGGUUUCUCUCCCAUGCUAUUAUAGGUUACUCUCCCAUGAUACUGUAGAUCACUCUCCCAUGCUCCGUAGGUUACUCUACCAUGAUACUGUAGGUUACUCUCCCAUGUUACUGUAGGUUACUCUCCCAUGCUACUGUAGGUUACUCUCCCAUGCUACUGUAGGUCACUCUCCCAUGCUACUGUAGGUUACUCUCCCAUGUUACUGUAGGUUACUCUCCCAUGCUACUGUAGGUUACUCUCCCAUGUUACUCUCCCAUGCUACUGUAGGUUACUCUCCCAUGCUACUGUAGGUUACUCUCCCAUGCUACUGUAGGUUACUCUCCCAUGCUACUGUAGGUUACUCUCCCAUGCUACUGUAGGUCACUCUCCCAUGCUACUGUAGGUUACUCUCCCAUGUUACUGUAGGUUACUCUCCCAUUCUACUGUAGGUUACUCUCCCAUGAUACUGUAGGUUACUCUCCCAUGCUACUGUAGGUUACUCUCCCAUGCUACUGUAGGUUACUCUCCCAUGUUACUGUAGGUUACUCUCC
ensembl:lncRNA